rnacentral:rRNA from 1 species
GACGAACCCUGGCGGCGUGCUUAACACAUGCGAGUCGAACGGAAAGGCCCUGCUUUUGUGGGGUGCUCGAGUGGCGAACGGGUGAGUAACACGUGAGUAACCUGCCCUUGACUUUGGGAUAACUUCAGGAAACUGGGGCUAAUACCGGAUAGGAGCUCCUGCUGCAUGGUGGGGGUUGGAAAGUUUCGGCGGUUGGGGAUGGACUCGCGGCUUAUCAGCUUGUUGGUGGGGUAGUGGCUUACCAAGGCUUUGACGGGUAGCCGGCCUGAGAGGGUGACCGGCCACCAUGGGACUGGGGUACGGGCCCGACCCCUACGGGGGGCCGCCGUGGGGAAUAUUGCACCAUGGGGGGAAGCCUGAUGGAGCAACGCCGCGGGGGGGGAGAAGGCCUUCGGGUUGGAAACCGCUUUCGCCUGUGACGAAGCGUGAGUGACGGUAAUGGGUAAAGAAGCACCGGCUAACUACGUG